GCUCCAUUGUUGGGCAGCACUUUACACUAAAAUUAAACAAUACAGAGAAGAUUAGCAAUGGUCCUGCACAAGAAAUGACAGCGCAAAUUUUGUAAAGCCAUUUCCAGUUCU
rnacentral:snRNA from 1 species